GCAUCUCUGGUGCAUGGUGGAGGGGCACUGCAACCCAGCGAAACUUUGAAAAAGCAGAUCUCAGAAGAUAGAAAGCAGCAACUGAUGCUUCAGAAAAUGGAACUGGAAAUUGAAAAGGAGCGCCUUCAGCAUCUGCUUGCCCAGCAGGAGACAAAGCUUCUUCUAAAACAGCAGCAGCUUCACCAGUCUCAACUGGAUUACAAUUGGUUAAGAGCUCAGGCUCUGUUUAAGUCGAGAGAACUGGUUGCUGAAAAAGAGCUUACUAAACCCCAAGAACUCAAACUGGAUAUGAAUGGCAGUGACUCUGGACCAAGGUAAACCUGAAGUCUCAGUGAAAACAAGAAUAUUAAGGGCAUAAAUAUUUAGGAUAUGUUUGGUAUACUUUUAUAGCUCUAUGUUGAUUAAUACAGUUUUGUGACCAUAUGAAUAAGUACAUUCCUGUUAUAAAAUUUUGAAAAAUAUAGAAAAAUAUGAAAAACAAAAUAAAAAUCAUUCAUAAUCCUACUA
rnacentral:sRNA from 1 species